rnacentral:rRNA from 1 species
GGCAAUGGGGCGUCAUCACGCCGCUCCAUGGUUGAUUAGGAAAAAGUGGUCGCGCUGUUUAAUUAAACAGAAGGUCAUGGAACUUCUCGACCCGGGUAAUCUUUGAAAUUUCAUCGUGAUGGGGAUAGAUCAUUGCAAGUGUUGGUCUUCAACGAGGAAUUCCUAGUAAGCGCGAGUCAUAAGCUCGCGUUGACUACGUCCCUGCC